rnacentral:rRNA from 1 species
UACGAAGGGGGCUAGCGUUGUUCGGAAUCACUGGGCGUAAAGCGCACGCAGGCGGAUCGUUAAGUCAGGGGUGAAAUGCCAAGGCUCAACCUUGGAACUGCCUCUGAUACUGGCGAUCUUCGAGUCCGGGAGAGGUGAGUGGAACUCCGAGUGUAGAGGUGAAAUUCGUAGAUAUUCGGAAGAACACCAGUGGCGAAGGCGGCUCACUGGCCCGGUACUGACGCUCAGGUGCGAAAGCGUGGGGAGCAAACAGGG